rnacentral:rRNA from 1 species
CACACCCGUUCCCAUCCCGAACACGGCAGUUAAGCUCUUUUGCGCCGAUGGUAGUUGGGGGUCUCCCCCUGUGAGAGUAGGACGUCGCUGGGC